rnacentral:snoRNA from 1 species
AUAAGCAUCAAAGAAAGCUUACCCAUUUAAGCAGCAGUCAAAAAACAGAACAAAACGAGUUUUCCUGUAUGGCCACUGUUGUGUGGUCUGGAACUGGUUGAUGCCAUUUUGGGAAAACACAGCU